CCUACGGGUGGCAGCAGUGAGGAAUAUUGGUCAAUGGACGCAAGUCUGAACCAGCCAUGCCGCGUGCAGGAAGACGGCUCUAUGAGUUGUAAACUGCUUUUGUACGAGGGUAAACGCCGUUACGUGUAUCUCUCUGCAAGUAUCGUACGAAUAAGGACCGGCUAACUCCGUGACAGCAGCCGCGGUAAUACGGAGGAUUCAAGCGUUAUCCGGAUUUAUUGGGUUUAAAGGGUGCGUAGGCGGUCGGAUAAGUUAGAGGUGAAAUCCCGCGGCUCAACUUGGGAAUUGCCGCUGAUACUGUUGGGCUAGAGAGUAGUUGCGGUAGGCGGAAUGUAUGGUGUAGCGGUGAAAUGCUUAGAGAUCAUACAGAACACCGAUUGCGAAGGCAGCUUACCGAGCUACAUCUGACGUUGAUGCACGAAAGCGUGGGGAGCAAACAGGAUUAGAUACCCUAGUAGUC
rnacentral:rRNA from 1 species